ACUCAGGCGGUGCCCUGUUGUGGUGGAGGUAUUAGUACUCUGAGAAAGUCAUGCGAUUUGAUGCACACUACACUUUUAUAUUUCCUUGCUUUGACAGUUGCCAUGCUUGAAAAUAUAUAUCAAUUAAUUACAUGUGUAUUAGCUUAAGAUUUAUUUCAUAUUUUUAUUAGAAUCUCAUGUCAUAUAAUUCAUGAUGUUUGUGGAUAACAUCCCUAGAAAUCCUCACGAGACAACACUCGUCCACUAGGAUAACCUAGGGGUUUAACGGCUUGUUGCACGUGCUAAGUGCAAUCGUGAUUCCUACAAAAGUGAGUGCUUAUUUUAAUUUUAUGCAAUUAGUUCUAAUAAAACAUCAAAGGAUCAACCAACACCUUUUGCACUCUCAUUUUAUUAUCUGCUCGUUAAUUGCUAGAGACUAGCAAUAAGCUAGUUGGAGGGUGUGAUGAGAGCACAAAAGUGCAAUCUACACAUCACUCAAAUUAGUAUUAUUGCUAACAAAUGAUGAUAGAAGUGCUGUAUGAAUAUUAUAUUUUUGUGGGGUGCAGGUAAUCGUAAAUUAAAGUUAAAAUACGCAUUGGGUCCAAAAAGAUGCAUCACCAUAUGUGACCAGCCAACCGUAUGGGUCAACCUCAGUUGCAUACUAGAAGGAGGUUAAGUUCAGCCUUUCAGGUUCACUGCAGCCAAUUCAAAGCAGCCUGUGCACCUGUUUGUGAUUCUCCCACUUCAUCCCAAGCAUCCGCGUGCAGCCCAUCAUCCCGCGUUCGUGCAACCCCCCAGAUCUCAGCUUCCGCAUCCAAGCUUCCGAGUACACGUGUUCAGCCGAGUUCCCAGCAUCCCGUAUCUCAGCAUCUGUUUGCGUCCG
rnacentral:lncRNA from 1 species